rnacentral:rRNA from 1 species
ACCUACGGGGGGCAGCAGUGGGGAAUAUUGCACAAUGGGGGAAACCCUGAUGCAGCAACGCCGCGUGAGUGAAGAAGGUUUUCGGAUUGUAAAGCUCUGUUAGCAGGGAAGAGGAAGGACGGUACCUGCAGAGGAAGCCACGGCUAACUACGUGCCAGCAGCCGCGGUAAUACGUAGGUGGCAAGCGUUAUCCGGAUUCACUGGGCGUAAAGGGAGCGCAGGCGGCAUGGCAAGUCUGAUGUGAAAACCCGGGGCCCAACCCCGGGAGUGCAUUGGAAACUGCCAGG